AUUGAACGCUGGCGGCAUGCCUUACACAUGCAAGUCGAACGGUAACGCGGGGCAACCUGGCGACGAGUGGCGAACGGGUGAGUAAUAUAUCGGAACGUGCCCAGUAGUGGGGGAUAGCCCGGCGAAAGCCGGAUUAAUACCGCAUGAGACCUGAGGGUGAAAGCGGGGGAUCGCAAGACCUCGCGCUAUUGGAGCGGCCGAUAUCAGAUUAGGUAGUUGGUGGGGUAAAGGCCUACCAAGCCGACGAUCUGUAGCUGGUCUGAGAGGACGACCAGCCACACUGGGACUGAGACACGGCCCAGACUCCUACGGGAGGCAGCAGUGGGGAAUUUUGGACAAUGGGCGCAAGCCUGAUCCAGCCAUGCCGCGUGCGGGAAGAAGGCCUUCGGGUUGUAAACCGCUUUUGUCAGGGAAGAAAUCUUCUGGGUUAAUACCUCGGGAGGAUGACGGUACCUGAAGAAUAAGCACCGGCUAACUACGUG
rnacentral:rRNA from 1 species